UACAGAGGUCUCGAGCGUUGUUCGGAUUCAUUGGGCGUAAAGGGUGCGUAGGUGGCUUGGUAAGUCGGAUGUGAAAUCCCGGGGGCUCAACCCCCGGAACUGCAUUCGAUACUGCUUUAGCUUGAGUCCUGGAGAGGAGAUCGGAAUUUACGGGUGUAGCAGUGAAAAUGCGUAGAUAUCGUAAGGAAGACCGGUGGCGAAGGCGGAUCUCUGGACAGGAACUGACACUGAGGCACGAAGGCCAGGGGGAGGCAAA
rnacentral:rRNA from 1 species